AUUGAACGCUGGCGGCAUGCCUUACACAUGCAAGUCGAACGGCAGCACGGGUGCUUGCUCCUGGUGGCGAGUGGCGAACGGGUGAGUAAUACAUCGGAACAUGUCCUGUAGUGGGGGAUAGCCCGGCGAAAGCCGGAUUAAUACCGCAUACGAUCUACGGAUGAAAGCGGGGGACCUUCGGGCCUCGCGCUAUAGGGUUGGCCGAUGGCUGAUUAGCUAGUUGGUGGGGUAAAGGCCUACCAAGGCGACGAUCAGUAGCUGGUCUGAGAGGACGACCAGCCACACUGGGACUGAGACACGGCCCAGACUCCUACGGGAGGCAGCAGUGGGGAAUUUUGGACAAUGGGCGAAAGCCUGAUCCAGCAAUGCCGCGUGUGUGAAGAAGGCCUUCGGGUUGUAAAGCACUUUUGUCCGGAAAGAAAACCUUGGCCCUAAUACGGUCGGGGGAUGACGGUACCGGAAGAAUAAGCACCGGCUAACUACGUG
rnacentral:rRNA from 1 species